GGGACGUUUAAUAUAUUUCUGAAACAGUCAGAUCAGAGCUCUGAACGACUUCUUCCAGAAUGGAACAUACCAUUAUCUGGAGUUUAUUAAUUGUAGUUACCAUUCAUGGAGUUUGGAGUGAGAUCAAACUGGACCAGUCUCCCUCUGAGGUGAAAAGACCUGGAGAGACAGUGAAGAUGUCAUGUAUCAUAUCUGGUUAUAGCAUGACA